rnacentral:rRNA from 1 species
AGAACGAACGCUGGCGGCAUGCCUAAUACAUGCAAGUCGAACGAAGGCUUCGGCCUUAGUGGCGCACGGGUGCGUAACGCGUGGGAAUCUGCCCCUUGGUUCGGAAUAACAGUUGGAAACGACUGCUAAUACCGGAUGAUGACGAAAGUCCAAAGAUUUAUCGCCAAGGGAUGAGCCCGCGUAGGAUUAGCUAGUUGGUGAGGUAAAGGCUCACCAAGGCGACGAUCCUUAGCUGGUCUGAGAGGAUGAUCAGCCACACUGGGACUGAGACACGGCCCAGACCCCUACGGGAGGCAGCAGUAGGGAAUAUUGGACAAUGGGCGAAAGCCUGAUCCAGCAAUGCCGCGUGAGUGAUGAAGGCCUUAGGGUGUAAAGCUCUUUACCGAGAUGAUAAUGACUAGUAUCGGGAAGAAUAACGCCCCCGGUAUAACCUCCGCACCGAGCCAGCCGC